rnacentral:lncRNA from 1 species
CCGUCCCCGUCCCGGUCCAUGAGCCGGAACGCGUCCUCCAUCGCGGACCCUCUCCCCGCGGCGGCGGCGGUCGUGGCGCGGCUGGCCAGCAGGCGCUCGAACUCGUCGUACUGCACGAAGCCGUCGCGGUCGGCGUCGGCGGCCGCGAUCAUGGCCGCGAGGUCGUCGUCGUCGAACUGCUCGCCGGCGGUGGUCCCCGCGGCGGCGUAGAAGGACUUGAGGUCCUCCCGGCUGAUGCGGCCGUCCCGGUCCGCGUCCAGCACGUCGAACGCCGGCCUCAGGUCGCCGGCGGCGCCCGCGACGACGGCGGAGAGAUCGAGGCCCAGGUACCUCCCCGUGGGGCACAUGGUCUCGCCUGC